CACCCAAUCAAAAUCUAAUAUAUAUAAAAAGAUAACGAUACAUUGUGGACAUAACUGCAGAACUUACAUAACUUUUUAUACAAUUGAUGCCAAGCUAAUGAGUAGUCAACAAAAUACAUAGGUCUUACUUAGCUCUCAUAAAACUUCAAGAGACUCUUAAGAAUUCCAAGUUGCAGUUUUAGCAUCAGAAUAUGCUCAAUGGACUUCUGAAACAAGGCUUCUUCGUCAGCUUCCGCACAACCUGGAAUCAUCCUUCUUAAGGCAUAAAGAUUUCUUUGCAUUGAAAAUGAAGCCAACUUUACUUUCUUUCUUGCUACCAAACGGCUCCUGUUCCUCUUCAGGUUUCUUCUAUUCAUGGAUAAAACAAGGAACUUUUCUAACAAGAAAUAUAAAGAAAUUAGAAUAGAAGUUCAUGAGCAUCUGGAGCUAUAAGUGUCAUAGAGACAAAGCAAGUUUAUAUAGAUAAGUUUCCCUUGCUUGGGACAAGAUUGUAAAG
rnacentral:misc_RNA from 1 species